GCAUCUCCUAGAGUUCCCUUCCAAGCACUUCAGCUGAAAAUGUCAAGAAAUUAUUGAUGUUUCUUUACUGAAGUGUUUGGGGGAACUCUCGGCGUAAC
rfam:Cucumis melo, WGS project CAJI01000000 data, contig: 00721